UAGGGAAUCUUCCACAAUGGACGCAAGUCUGAUGGAGCAACGCCGCGUGAGUGAAGAAGGUUUUCGGAUCGUAAAGCUCUGUUGUUGGUGAAGAAGGAUAGAGGCAGUAACUGGUCUUUAUUUGACGGUAAUCAACCAGAAAGUCACGGCUAACUACGUGCCAGCAGCCGCGGUAAUACGUAGGUGGCAAGCGUUGUCCGGAUUUAUUGGGCGUAAAGCGAGCGCAGGCGGAAUGAUAAGUCUGAUGUGAAAGCCCACGGCUCAACCGUGGAACUGCAUCGGAAACUGUCAGUCUUGAGUGCAGAAGAGGAGAGUGGAAUUCCAUGUGUAGCGGUGGAAUGCGUAGAUAUAUGGAAGAACGCCAGUGGCGAAGGCGGCUCUCUGGUCUGCAACUGACGCUGAGGCUCGAAAGCAUGGGUAGCGAACAGG
rnacentral:rRNA from 1 species